rnacentral:lncRNA from 1 species
GGUGAAAACAAACACUGUCUGCACUAUACGGAGUGAAAAUCCUUCACGGCCAACCAAGGCAGAACACGCGAAAGGCACGUGCCCAACGACCAGGUGGGAUCCUGGGACACAAGAGGUCUCAACACGCGGACAUGUAACACUUUAAUGCAUCCUAUCAAUAGAGCAAAGGACACGUGAGACGUGCUUACAAAACAGAUGGGAAGUAUGACAAAAUGCACCCCCUCCGUGACAGAAGACUGACCCCAGGGGCUUGGCAGGGACUUGCUCCAACUUGGUGAAGGCGUGUGUGAAAGCGCUCAACUAGCGUCAUGCGUGGUUACAAACGACUGCUUUUUAGUCACUCGAGUUGGUACCUGGCAGCUGUCAAGGUCACAGGGAGGGCGUGAUGGUAAGGCGGACUGCUUUCUCCCAACAUCAGGAGGGUCUCAAGGGGGCAAAGGGAAAGGGUGUCUGAGAGCGCCAAGGGCCAGAUCCUUAGUUAUGAAGACUGAGCCCCCAGACCCACGACAGCGUCCCAUGUCAUUAUCGAAGCCUGAGUUCCUUCCACGGACGCCAGGAGCCAGUGAAAUAGGGAGAGUGAAUACCAAGAGCCCCCUGGCAGCCUCACUCCUGAUCAUGCAGGACCGAGUGCUCCUUCUCACACCAGCAGCAACGCACCUUGGAGAAGCAACCCUGCGAUAUCUCAGACCAGCACUGUACACAGGUCAGAGAGACUGAGCACUGUCUGGUAACUUCAGGAACAGCUCAGCCUGGUCAUGGACAUCUCUAAAAGGUGACAACACCCAUCGUAGCUAAUUACAAAACACUGCUUUCUGCUAACAUCAGAUACAACUCAGGGUGGUAAAGGGCAUCUGUAAAGGUUCUCAGGAGCCUGGCGUAAUCGUGAGACUGAGUAUUUUCUUGUAACCUCAGGAGCAGCUGACUUGGUGAAGAACAUCUGUGAAGCUUAUCACUAGCACCUUCCUUAAGUAUGAAGGAUCGAGUCCUUCCUACUAACAUCAGGAAUCACUCAACUUGGUAAAGGGCAUCUGUCAAAGCUCACAACUAACAUAAUACGUAAUUAUGAAAAGCUGAGUAGGUUCUGCGGAAAUCAGGAGCAACUCAACUGGGUAAAGGGCAUCUGUAACAGCUCACGACUAGCAUCACAGGUAAUUAUGAUAUACUGAGUCCUGGCUACCUAUGCCAGGAACAAAGCCAUUUGUUAACUGUCCUGGGUAAGAGCUCACAACUAGCAUUGUACUUCAUUAUGUACCUCAUGUGCAAGUCAACUUUGUAAUGGGCAUCUGUAAAGGUAGACAAUUAGCGUCAUGCUUAAAUAUAAAAUUGUGUGUGCUUUCUACCUACAUCAGGAACGACUUCCGUGUAUCUGGGAUUCCCAGCUCCUAUCACCUUGUACUGGAGGUCUGGCCAAGGUCACCUGACAGUACAGAAAAAUCCGGACGAGAAGCGGGUACAGUAGCACUCUAUCUAUUUUUACCUUGCAUAAUUAUAUGUAUGUAAUCCCAAGAAAACAGCUAAAAAUUCAUCAGAAUAAAGAUGUUUGAUGAAAUCAACAUACAAAAUCAAUUAUAUUUCUACACACAUCAACAAAAAUCAAGAAAAUAAGAAAAC